UUAAUUUAAACGAUUAUGGGAUAAUUGUUGCUGGUUUUUUCUCCGUAACCGAAUGAGAUAAUGGGAGGUUGCAUUCAGUUUUUGUAACUGAAGGAUAAAAUGAAAAUUGUUUUCAUUUUGCAAAGAUAUCAAACAUUCGCUCACCGUUUGAGUACACUGCCCAUUGCCUAGCAAAUCAAGAGCAUACAUGACAGCUCAAAGUUUACUAAACAAUCGUGUACACACGCGCAUUUACUAGACGGUUGCAUAGAAUUUCCUAAACGAUCGUCUAGCUUUUUCUAAGCGAUCACGCGUCCGAGCGUUUUACUAAACAAUCGUCUAUACGAUCAGCCCUAGUUUACUACACGAUCGUGUACUUCUACCUAGACGAUCAAGCAUCUAUCUAUACGAUAGACCUCAGAUUUCUCCCACUUGCUUGGUUGUAGUAAAAGAUCGUUCCUUCCUCCUUCCCUCUACCAAAUCCAUCAGAGCCCACGCCUCAUAGAUUUUCACUCCGAGAAUACUGAGGGUUCUAAAUGGUGGUGCCUUCCUUGCUGCCUUGUUCGUGAGGAGUCCGUUCAUGGGUAGACGAUAGCGAGAUUUGGUGGACGAUAAGAUUGAUGAUCUCAGCGACAACGAGAUUGGCUGGAGUGACGAGAGGAGAUUGAAAGGAGAAGAAAAGUUCUUCAACUGAUAAGGGCAAGGAUACUUGGGUGACUAACAAGAGGAAUUUGUGACAGUGCCAAAGGAACUAGGAACGCUUCCGCAUUUGAAUUUAUAUGUUAUUUUAUGUUUUUAUAGUUUUCUUUUCACAAACCUUCCUUGACUAGAUUUAGGGGUUAGAGAUUUCUUUUUCGAUU